rfam:Hordeum vulgare subsp. vulgare, WGS project CAJW01000000 data, contig: morex_contig_1611540
GCCAUCUCUCAUGCGGAGAUCACGUCCAAGAUCCUCACCGGCCUCGAUCUGGAAUAUAAUCCAGUCGUGUCGGUGCUCGCGGCUCAGGUGGAGCCUGUUACGAUUCAGGAGCUCUAUAGUGUGCUUCUGAGUUUUGAUG